UUUGGAGAAGAACGCAACAAGCAGAAGCACCAUCUGUACAAUCACUGGGAACACUUUUUUUCUUCAAGUGUGUAAAAACUGCGCUUCAUGUCAAGAGAUGAUGUGACGCUUUUAUCGAGAAUAGCCGGUCAGUGACACGGAUCAGGAUGUUAGCUGAUCUGAUCUGAGUACCAUCUGUUGAAAGGACUUCUGUUGAACUGCAGUACCAUCUGAUGAAAGGACAGACAGGUGACCUAUAGAAGCCUCACAGGGACACCAUGAACAGGGCAGGCUCCUCUGUGUCCAGUGCCUCAUCCAUGAGGAGUGACCGGUCAAAAGACCAUCCACCUGAACUCAGGGGGGAAGAGAGAAGCAUCAGGUCCUGGGAAUCUGGUUAUGCGCCAUCUGUGUCAACCUCUAGUGGAUCAUCAUUAUCAGCAGGUCGGGUGUUGUGUGAUGCUUGCAAUCACACGGCAGUGAAGACCUGUUUGACCUGCAUGGCCUCCUACUGUGGGACUCAUGUGAAGCACCACUACACAUCUCCAGAGCUGGAGAAACACCAGCUACAGGACCUCACGCAUGACCUCUGUGAACAGCAUCACAAGAAGCUUGAGCUGUACUGCAGGACCGACCAAUUAGAAAUCUGCUUGAGAUGCUUUUUUCAAGAUCACAUGACACAUGAUGUCAUU